UACGUAGGGUGCAGGCGUUAAUCGGAAUUACUGGGCGUAAAGCGUGCGCAGGCGGUUUGCUAAGACAGGUGUGAAAUCCCCGGGCUUAACCUGGGAACUGCGCUUGUUACUGGCAAGCUAGAGUGUGGCAGAGGGGGGUGGAAUUCCAGGUGUAGCAGUGAAAUGCGUAGAGAUGUGGAGGAAUACCGAUGGCGAAGGCAGCCCCCUGGGCCAGUACUGACGCUCAUGCACGAAAGCGUGGGGAGCAAACAGG
rnacentral:rRNA from 1 species